UACGUAGGGGGCUAGCGUUGUCCGGAAUCAUUGGGCGUAAAGAGCGUGUAGGCGGUCCGGUAAGUCCGCUGUGAAAGUCCAGGGCUCAACCCUGGAAUGCCGGUGGAAACUGUCGGGCUAGAGUCCGGAAGAGGAGAGUGGAAUUCCUGGUGUAGCGGUGAAAUGCGCAGAUAUCAGGAAGAACACCCAUGGCGAAGGCG
rnacentral:rRNA from 1 species